rnacentral:sRNA from 1 species
GGUGCACUCGCAGGAGACCGCCAGCGACAAGUUGGAGGAAGGUGGGGACGACGUCAAGUCAUCAUGGCCUUUAUGUCCAGGGCGACACACGUGCUACAAUGGGCGGUACAACGGGUUGCUAAGCCGCGAGGUGGAGCUAAUCCCUAAAAGCCGUCCUCAGUUCGGAUCGCAGGCUGCAAUUCGCCUGCGUGAAGCUGGAAUCGCUAGUAAUGGCGCAUCAGAACGGCGCCGUGAAUACGUUCCCGGGCCUUGUACACACCGCCCGUCACAUCACGAAAGUGGAUUGUACUAGAAGUCCGUGAGCCAACCUUCGGGAGGCAGCGGCCCAAGGUAUGAUUCACGAUUGGGGUGAAGUCGUAACAAGGUAGCCGUAGGAGAACCUGCGGCUGGAUCACCUCCUUUCUAA